rnacentral:rRNA from 1 species
AAUUUGGCGGUAAUUUAGUCUAUUCAGAGGAACUUGUCCCGUUAUCGAUAGUCCCCGUUUUAUCUUGCUUAUUCUUGUAAUUUCAGUAUGUAUACCGCCGUUAUAAGUUUAUUUUAUUAGAAUAUAAAUAUACUAAAAAUAUUAUUAUAUUUUAUUUCAGGUCAAGGUGCAGUUAAUGAAUAAGAGGAGAUGAGUUACAAUAUUUUUUGAAUAUACGGAUUUAAUUUAAAAUUUUUAUUGAAGGUGGAUUUGAUAGUAAUUUUUUUUUAUAAUAAUUAUUUGAUUUUAGCUCUAAAUUAAGCACACAUCGCCCGUCGCUC